CAGUAGCCGCGGUAAUACGAAGGGUGCAAGCGUUAAUCGGAAUUACUGGGCGUAAAGUGUGCGUAGGCGGUGAGUUAAGUCUGCUGUGAAAUCCCCGGGCUCAACCUGGGAACUGCGCUUGUGACUGCACAGCUAGAGUAUGGCAGAGGGGGGUGGAAUUCCACGUGUAGCAGUGAAAUGCGUAGAGAUGUGGAGGAACACCGAUGGCGAAGGCAGCCCCCUGGGCCAAUACUGACGCUCAUGCACGAAAGCGUGGGGAGCAAACAGGAUUAGAGACCCCCGUAGUCCCUGUCUCUUAUAA
rnacentral:rRNA from 1 species